rnacentral:rRNA from 1 species
UACGUAGGGACCGAGCGUUGUCCGGAAUCAUUGGGCGUAAAGAGCGUGUAGGCGGCCUGAAAGGUCAGCUGUGAAAACUCGAGGCUCAACCUCGAGACGUCGGUUGAAACCAUCUGGCUAGAGUCCGGAAGAGGAGUGUGGAAUUCCCGGUGUAGCGGUGAAAUGCGCAGAUAUCGGGAAGAACACCCGUGGCGAAGGCGGCACUCUGGGACGGUACUGACGCUGAGACGCGAAAGCGUGGGGAGCGAACAGG